CCUCGGCAUUAUUUCAUGGAGGUACUUCAUGUUGAUCAUGUUUUACAUUGUAAAGUAGCCUAAAUAUUAAGUGGCUGUUUGACUGUGCAGUUGUUUUAUCCACACACAGCCUAAAUGUCUGCAUCCAUAUCAUGUCCUGUUAAAUAAUUAAGCCUAUUUAAACUAACAUAGACUUCUGCUCAGCCAACAGAAAGAAAGCAGAUGCCUGUAAAACGGUGGUAUAAAAGGUCAUGGAUGCACAUAUAUAUAUAGAUAUAUAUAUACACACACACACAUCUUGUAAUUGUAAGUAGGCAACACUCCAAAGAUUUCUCCAAAUGGUAGUUUAAAUGUACUGAAACAUGUCACUGAUCUAGGAUGAAGAGGAUGAAACUGUGUCUGCUGCCUUUACAGAGGGGGAUCCAGAAAGGCAUACAGAGAGCAUGGCUGGACAGCAGCAGGAUGGUUCCUCAGCUUCCACUGCACAGACUGACACAGUGAGAUGGAUGUUCAGGAAACACCAGAGCUUCAUUCUGUGGAAUUCAUGUGCAACUGUAUAAUUUAAUGUCCUCUAUGUAUUCCCAGUUAUCAGUAAAACAGAUUUACAAACUGCAUUUGCUGAGAAAAAUCCAAAAACAGAUUAGGAGGGCAGAUCUGGAAAUUGAAAUACUGGAGCACAAGUUAGAGGUGGUGAUGGUCACAGGUGAAUUAUGUUAACUACUGGAACAUGAACUGAACUAUCUGUUUAUUUGUAGGAAAUAAAGAAGAGCAAAUGAAA